rnacentral:rRNA from 1 species
GAUGAACGCUAGCGGCAGGCUUAAUACAUGCAAGUCGAGGGGCAGCAUGUCCCGUAGCAAUACGGGAUGAUGGCGACCGGCAAACGGGUGCGGAACACGUACAGAACCUUCCUUCGAGCGGGGAAUAGCCCAGAGAAAUUUGGAUUAAUACCCCAUAGUACAACGGAGUGGCAUCACUUUGUUGUUAAAGAUUUAUCACUUGAAGAUGGCUGUGCGGCUGAUUAGGUAGUUGGCGGGGUAACGGCCCACCAAGCCUGCGAUCAGUAACUGGUGUGAGAGCACGACCAGUCACACGGGCACUGAGACGCGGGCCCGACUCCUACGGGAGGCAGCAGUAAGGAAUAUUGGUCAAUGGACGAAAGUCUGAACCAGCCAUGCCGCGUGGAGGAUGAAGGUCCUCUGGAUUGUAAACUUCUUUUAUAUGGGACGAAAAAAGGGUUUUCUAACUCGUCUGACGGUACCAUAUGAAUAAGCACCGGCUAACUCCGUGCCAGCAGCCGCCGCAGUAA